UACGUAGGGGGCAAGCGUUGUUCGGAUUUAUUGGGCGUAAAGAGCGUGUAGGCGGCCUGAAAGGUCAGCUGUGAAAACUCGGGGCUCAACCCCGAGACGUCGGUUGAAACCAUCUGGCUAGAGUCCGGAAGAGGAGUGUGGAAUUCCCGGUGUAGCGGUGAAAUGCGCAGAUAUCAGGAGGAACACCGAUAGCGAAGGCAGCUCGCUGGGACGGUACUGACGCUGAGGUGCGAAAGCGUGGGGAGCGAACAGG
rnacentral:rRNA from 1 species